rnacentral:rRNA from 1 species
CCUACGGGAGACAGCAGUGAGGAAUAUUGGUCAAUGGGCGCGAGCCUGAACCAGCCAAGUAGCGUGAAGGAUGACUGCCCUACGGGUUGUAAACUUCUUUUAUAAAGGAAUAAAGUGAGGCACGUGUGCCUUUUUGUAUGUAUUUUAUGAAUAAGGAUCGGCUAACUCCGUGCCAGCAGCCGCGGUAAUACGGAGGAUCCGAGCGUUAUCCGGAUUUAUUGGGUUUAAAGGGAGCGUAGAUGGGUUGUUAAGUCAGUUGUGAAAGUUUGCGGCUCAACCGUAAGAUUGCAAUUGAUACUGGCAGCCUUGAGUACACUAGAGGUACGCGGAAUUCGUGGUGUAGCGGUGAAAUGCUUAGAUAUCACGAAGAACUCCGAUUGCGAGGGCAGCCUACUAAACUGCCACUGACAUUGAUGCUCGAAAGUGUGGGUAUCAAACAGGAUUAGAUACCCGAGUAGUC